ACGGAGGGGGCAAGCGUUAUUCGGAAUGAUUGGGCGUAAAGGGCGCGUAGGCGGUUUGGUAAGUCAGAUGUGAAAGCCCCGGGCUCAACCUGGGAAGUGCAUUUGAUACUGUCAGGCUUGAGUCUAGGAGAGGGGAGUGGAAUUCCAGGUGUAGCGGUGAAAUGCGUAGAGAUCUGGAGGAACACCGGUGGCGAAGGCGGCUUCCUGGACGAAGACUGACGCUGAGGCGCGAAAGCGUGGGGAGCAAACAG
rnacentral:rRNA from 1 species